ACAUGGUACCCCAUUGGUCACUAUAUUCCAGUCAAGAAAACAACCAAUUGCCCUUAGUCCCUGCCUUCAAUCCAAU